rnacentral:rRNA from 1 species
UACGGGGGGGGGCAAGCGUUGUUCGGAAUUACUGGGCGUAAAGGGCUCGUAGGUGGCCAACUAAGUCGGACGUGAAAUCCCUCAGCUUAACUGGGGAACUGCGUCCGAUACUGGAUGGCUCGAGUUUGGGAGAGGGAUGCGGAAUUCCAGGUGUAGCGGUGAAAUGCGUAGAUAUCUGGAGGAACACCGGUGGCGAAGGCGGCAUCCUGGACCAGCACUGACACUGAAGCACGAAAGCGUGGGGAGCAAACAGG